rnacentral:rRNA from 1 species
AUGGGAAUGGUCCAGCCUAGCCAACAGCCUCUGACACAACUCCCAACACCGAAUAACCACAACCCAAUGGUGAGGAAGAGAUCUUUGACAAUGCCUCUGAGGAGGAGAAGGGUGCCCACAAACGCCGGCAUUGUUCCCGUCGAAGAAUCAAGCUUUUGCCGAAAGCCUUAUGUCUCACCAUCUCUACAGACGCAGGGAGGGUGCCAAGCCACAAUGAACCUGCGAAAAGAAGAUGCGACUAAUCUUGUAUUCAUAAGAGGCGGAACCGAACCAAAUGAAUCAGGAGCAGGGGCGGAUCCACAGUUGGUCAUGGAUCAACAUAUGUGCAUCCAAAUUUUUUAG